rnacentral:rRNA from 1 species
AACGAACGCUGGCGGCAUGCCUAACACAUGCAAGUCGAACGAGACCUUCGGGCCUAGUGGCGCACGGCUGCGUAACGCGGGGGAACCGGCCCUUAGGUGCGGAAUAACUCCCCGAAAGGGGUUCUAAUACGGGAUAAUGACCUCGGACCACAGAUCUAUCCCGUUUGGAGGAGGCCGCAUUGGGUUAGCCUGGUGGUAGGGUAAAAGCCUAUCAAGGCGACGAUCCGUAGCGGGUCUGAGAGGAUGAUCAGCCACACUGGGACUGGGCCACGGCCCGGAAUCUUACGGGAGGCAGCAGUGGGGAAUAUUGGACAGUCGGGUAAAGGCUGAUCGACCUCUGGCGCGUGAGUGCUGAAGGCCUUGGGGUUGUAAAGCUCUUUUACACGGGAUGAUAAUGACAGUACCCGGAGAAUAAGCUCCGGCUAACUCCGUG